rnacentral:tRNA from 1 species
GUGGUAGCUCAGUGGUAGAGCAUCUACUUUGGGUGUAGAAGGUUCAAUCACCAGUAUCUCCA